CUUCUAUGGGUCUGAUUAUAUAAGUGGAUAUUAGCAAAUUCAAGCACCAUUUAAACAGUAUUUAAGAAAAGUAAAAGAUGAUGCAGGUGCAGAGGCACAUGUCUGAAGGAUCAGAAAAGACCGCCUAAAUGUGAAGGGUGAUACACUCAAUUCCCUAAAACAUGAAGUCAAUAAAUGGAAAGAAUUAAAAAGUUUGGGGAGCAAAAUGAAAAACCAGUUCAAAACCUAUAUUUUGGCAAUAGGUGUAUCUUGAUUUACAUUAAUCCCCAUUUUGUAAGAGCUACAUAGAAAUAUACCAUUAAUAGAACUAUACUACCUGUCAUAUUUUUUCUCUUUGUUUCCUUGACCAUGCUAAUUGAUAGUCACUACUUGUUUUAAGAGAUGAUAGUCCGAAGCAGAUAGGUUGCAUAGGACUAUAGGAGUUGUCAUCUUACUAAACCAUGCUUAAAAAAAAAAAGGUAGCCUGAUGCACUAAGCUCCUAUUAUGCACGGGGUCCAGGGAAGGGUCAGGCCACAAGGGUCUAUUGUACGCAACCUUACCUUGUAUUUCUGUAAGAGGCUGUUUCCACUACUCGAACCCGUGACCUCCUGGUCACAUGGCAACAACUUUACCAGUUACGCCAAAGCUUCCCUUUAAACUAAACUAUGUCUAUAGUUUGAAGAAGAAAAUAUUUAGGGAUUUGGAAGGGUAGUGACAUCUCAGUUAUUGACAAAAUCUUAAGAUGCAUUAUGUAAACGAGGAUAGCUGGAUUGUUGCGUGACUCAUAAUUCUUUUUCUCUUUUUUGUAUUGAUUUUGACGGUUGAAAAAUUCUUAUUGUGGGGUUGUUGGUACAGUCUCCAAACUGCAAUCCACCAGCUUAAUUCUGUUCUUGAGUGGUGCAUGAUUCUUCUCUUUUACUCUAUUUUGUAUUGAUAUUCCCAUACUUCUAUAUGUUUGCAGUAUUUGAGUUUCCACAUAUGUUGUUAACAUACAUUAUAUAUUGUCUGUAUUGACUAGCAUGUAAGCAUUGCAGGUCAUCAUCAGUUUUUAGCAUUUUGUUGCUACUCCUUCGUGAUUCUUCUAAUUUUAAGAUCAGGAUACAAGCAGCUGCUGCUUUGUCUGUUCCAGCAUCCUCAAAUGAUUAUGGCGGAUCAUUUUUUAGUGUUCUUCAAGGUGUGCAGCAUGUUGUCGAGAGUCUGAGUUCUGAUGAGAUUUCAUCACCAUCAAAUUUGAAAUAUAGGCUGGCACUUGAAAAGCAGCUGACCUCAACUAUGUUGCAUUUGCUUGGCCUCACUUCCAAAACGGAUGAUCGCCAUGUCCAUGAGUUUCUAAUGAAGAAAUCAUCCUUCCUUGAGGAGUGGUUUAAGUUGGUCUGCAUGUCUCUUGAGAAAUCACCUAACCAGUUUGAGGCCGAAUAUUACUCUUCUGUUAACCACAAGAAAGACGUAAUAUUCAGAGCGGUUAGGUCACUCAUUGAGGUGUAUGAAGCGCAUGAUCUUCACGCUGUUGUACAAAGGUUUCACAAGCUGUCCAACAUCCUAUAACAGUUUUCCAGUUUUUGGUUCCUACAUCUGCUUGGUCGGUCUGGUGUGUAUUUUCUCCAGCUGCUGCUGCUUGAGCUGGUUAGCCGUAUCCAGUCGAUGCUGUACCUUAAGCUCUGUAGUUUUGCCAUGGCCCUCUUUGUUGAAUGACACCAAUGACAACCUGUAGAUUAUUCUUCCGAACAAAGUGGUGGUUGUCUUUUGAUGUGAAUUUACGUUGGAGAUCCCAAAUGGUUGCCUUUACCAAGAGGAUGAGCGGACAUCUCCCAGUGAUUACUUGUAGAUUAGUAUGUGUACAAAGUGAUUGCUGUCUUUGGAUGUGCAUCUCCAUGGAAGUUGCUAAUGGUUGCCAUUAGCAAAAGGAUGUGCACAAAGGCGCCAAAUGAUAACCUGUAGAUUAGCCUCCUGAACAACUUGAUAGUUAUCUUUGGAUGCGCAUCUUAUUGGACUCUUAAAUGGUUCUAGCAGAAGGAGCAGCAGAAAAUUUCCAGUAUCCUCUGGUUUUUGACAUGCACCGAAAAUUGUAGUGGCUGCUUUAUAUAUGGGUUAGGUUAGUCAUCUGGAGACAUCCUGUAUUUGUUGUGUUUUAUUGUGCAACAAUUUUUUAGGUUAGUCAUCUGUAGACAUCCUGUAUUUGUUGUGUUUUUUUGUGUAACAAUUUUUUUCAACUUUUUGUGUAAGAGAUUUUGAAUCCUCAUUUGGUUGUGCUUACUGCCACAAAAUUAUUUAUGAAUAACAUUAGGACCA